CCCUGGCUCAGGACGAACGCUGGCGGCAUGCCUAAUACAUGCAAGUCGAGCGGACUUGAAGAGAAGCUUGCUUCUCUGAUAGUUAGCGGCGGACGGGUGAGUAACACGUAGGCAACCUGCCCUCAAGUUUGGGACAACUACCGGAAACGGUAGCUAAUACCGAAUAGUUGUUUUCUUCGCCUGAAGAGAACUGGAAAGACGGAGCAAUCUGUCACUUGGGGAUGGGCCUGCGGCGCAUUAGCUAGUUGGUGAGGUAACGGCUCACCAAGGCGACGAUGCGUAGCCGACCUGAGAGGGUGAUCGGCCACACUGGGACUGAGACACGGCCCAGACUCCUACGGGAGGCAGCAGUAGGGAAUCUUCCGCAAUGGGCGAAAGCCUGACGGAGCAAUGCCGCGUGAGUGAUGAAGGUUUUCGGAUCGUAAAGCUCUGUUGCCAGGGAAGAACGCUUGGGAGAGUAACUGCUCUCAAGGUGACGGUACCUGAGAAGAAAGCCCCGGCUA
rnacentral:rRNA from 1 species